rnacentral:lncRNA from 10 species
ACUAGGCUCACCCGGCACAUGGAGAGGCCUGUUUCAUCCGAUGAGGAGUCCUGGGGUAGGGGAGGUGUGUGAAAGUGUGUGAAAGAGAUGGUCUCGGGAGAGGCCAACGCGGGGAGUGACGAGGGGAGGCACAGAUCCCUUAGUGCGGGUUGUGUUCCGAGGCCAGUGUGGGGGAAACCAGACCUAGAACGUUGUAUACGGCUGAUAGGACCAGGUCCACCGCUGCAGCAGGCUGUGAGAGGGGAAGGCACGUUCCUGGCUAAGCAGCGUCCAAAACUCCCGUAAUAGGACCCAGUCUGGUGGACCCGAGAGUAAAAGUGAGAGUGAAAGUGCGCCGCAAGGGAGGAAAUGGGAGGAAAAGCGUCGAAACCAACUCCUUUGGAGUGCAUGAUAAAAAAAUUUUUAAAAAGGAUUUAGAGGUGAUUAUGGGAUGAAACUGGAUGCUCAAAAUUUAAGGACAUACUGUGAAUUAGAAUAGCCCUCUUUUAGUGUUGGACGACUGGCCGAAGGCACUACAGAGAAAUUGGCCGUGUGUUUUAAGGUGGUGACUAGGGUUGGAGGACCACCAGGGCAUUCAGACCUAGUCUUUGUAUUGAUUCAUGGCUAAAUGAAUGCAGCCCUGCCUAGCAGUUUAUUGUAGAACGCUCGCAGCUCAUGGCGAGAGACACCAGCUGUGCUGGCAGCUACAGAGUUAAAGGGAAAGUCACAGAGCCUUGUAACUCCACAAGUAAAAAGUGAAAAGUAAAAGCCAAAAGUGAAAGUAAAAAUCAGCUGUGCCAGGAACUAUGGAGACAAAAGAAAAGUCUCAGGAAAGAGAAAACUGGUUUUGCAAGAACCACAGAAGGGAAUAAAGACCCCUCCUCCCUACAUUCCAAUCUACCCCCCUUUACCAAGGCUAACUGCCCCUAAGGAGUUAAGUUCAAAGAAAUACAGGCUCCCAGAAGAAAAAAUCAGAGCUCCAGGAAGUUAAAGUGAAAGGUUACAAAAAAGUCAGGCAGGCCGUCUCAGGUCUGGCCGUGCCCAAGUUAUGCUUAUGCCUCUUAAGAGGACAAAAGGACCCCCACUAGGACCCAGAUGAUGCAGUCCAGCUUCAACCCCUACAAAAUUGCCGAGAAGCACUUCUGCCAAAGGCUAAAGGAUGGUAAAAGAAAAAGGUUAAAGAAAGAGGGACCAAUUAACUUCACCUUUUCCUAAACUUGAAAAGACAAACCAAAUUCUGCCCUUCAUCUCCAAUGUUUGAAAGAUCAGAGGUUCCUGUCAAGAACAUGGGUCCGUGUGUGGUUCACUCUGAAGCAUCUGUCUUCCUGUGAAAGAGCUUGCGGCUGGUGAGUGGAUACUGAGCCCAACUUCUGCAGGCUGCCCUCCCCUCUGGAUACCAAGCCCACCCAUGGCAAUCCCUUCAAGGCGUGACUCUCAUGAUAAUUAAAUGUGUGAUAAUGUGAAAAGGAAUUUUCAGAGAAACCAAGUCAAGGACUGGUG